rnacentral:rRNA from 1 species
UAGUGGCGAACGGGUGAGUAACACGUGGGCAAUCUGCCCUUCACUCUGGGACAAGCCCUGGAAACGGGGUCUAAUACCGGAUACGACACACGACCGCAUGGUCUGUGUGUGGAAAGCUCCGGCGGUGAAGGAUGAGCCCGCGGCCUAUCAGCUUGUUGGUGGGGUGAUGGCCUACCAAGGCGACGACGGGUAGCCGGCCUGAGAGGGCGACCGGCCACACUGGGACUGAGACACGGCCCAGACUCCUACGGGAGGCAGCAGUGGGGAAUAUUGCACAAUGGGCGAAAGCCUGAUGCAGCGACGCCGCGUGAGGGAUGACGGCCUUCGGGUUGUAAACCUCUUUCAGCAGGGAAGAAGCGAGAGUGACGGUACCUGCAGAAGAAGCGCCGGCUAACUACGUGCCAGCAGCCGCGGUAAUACGUAGGGCGCAAGCGUUGUCCGGAAUUAUUGGGCGUAAAGAGCUCGUAGGCGGCUUGUCGCGUCGGAUGUGAAAGCCCGGGGCUUAACCCCGGGUCUGCAUUCGAUACGGGCAGGCUAGAGUUCGGUAGGGGAGAUCGGAAUUCCU